rnacentral:lncRNA from 1 species
UUACGAUGAAUCUAGGGGGACGGUCGGGCUGAUUGCCUUUCAAAUACCUCGCGUGGCUUCGUUGACCGGCACCCUCCAAACUCACAAGGGCACGCACGAUACUUGCAAGAAUCCCAGAGGAGGGUGGGUGGGAGGGAGGAAAGGAGGGAGGGGGGGUUGGAGAGCGAGCAGCCGCAGCAAGCGGUCGGACUCGCACGCGCGGGCCCCGCGCUGGUACAGGGCUGCAGGUUUCCCAGAUGAUGGCAUCCGAGAACUUAAACAAAGAGGGUCGCCGCCGGCGCGCCGCGGCUGCACAAAGUUGCAGUGGCGGAUUUCCAAGAAGCUUGGCCACAGGAGCUCUGCGCGAGGCAAGCCUUCCUUUCCCACCUCCUGCAGGACAGAGAUGGGGGCCCGCGCGUGAAGGGAAGAGGAAACUUUGAAACCAGUGGGGACACAUCUGUCUAUAGACAACUGCCGGGGAAAAAAUAAAACAUCAACCCCAACCUUCAGCAACAAGAUGUCGCACCAGACUGUGAGUGUCGCGAGGAACAUGAAAAGGGACUCUUGUUUCAGAGACGUCCAAGAGCUCCGGCAAUAACAACUUCAGAGAAAUGCACCAUCGCAAGAAGUUUUCCUAGGACAAAACAAAACUUGAAAGAAGCGAACCAGGGGGGCAGAACAGGAGCCAGCCGCCCCACUCCGCAGACGCGAGCCGCCAGCAUCACCACGCCUGUAAGGACCGGAAAAGUUUUACUAUAGUAAGGGGAAACAGUAAGAUGUGUUGCUGAAGAUCAGGGAAGACAGCGGACCAACUAGGAGCGGCCAGAUUGCUGGCCACCCACAAUUUGGCCAAGGAAGAAAGGAACCGCUUCGUCCUUUGUUGUCUCCCGUGAAACCUUCGCUUAGCAGGUGGACAGAGCCCUGUGCCGGGCCAGAGUCCGCACUCGUCCGAGGACAGGAGGAGCCGCGGAGCCCUUGCUCCCCGAGAGAGCGCCCGAAGUACGGGUCCCCGCCCCAGUGGGCGAGCCUCGCUGGAGCCAGCCGAUCGCUCCCGGCCAGGGGGGAGACCACGACCCCCCCUGAAGGGGCUGGCCACGGAGCUCGCCCGGAGAAGCGAUCCCCCCUCCCCAGGGCGCUGCUCCUGCUGCAGCGGCGGCUGCUGCUGACCGAGGCUAGCCGGCGACCCCCGCGCCCUGCCAAGCGGCCUUGCAGCUGCAGCCCCGGGCCGCGGCGGCGGCGGCGGGGGCGGAGGCGGCGGAGGAGGAGGCGGCGGAGAAGGCGGCGGGGCCGGCGGGGACCCGGGGCGGGGGAGGAGGAGCGGGGGGGGAGGAGGCG